rnacentral:other from 1 species
AAAUACCUGCCCUGUAUGUGAUAUAUGAUAAAGUUGAUCCGGCAAAUUAGAUCUUUAGGGAGCUGGGGUAAGGUGCUGAUGUGCAUAUUGCCCGCGUGGCAAAAGCCUGCAGGUUCCUUCACAGCACCCACCUAUACAAUGGGCGGAUCUAAUUCAUCAUAUACACGGCAGGGCGGGAUAAAU